AGCGGCAGGACAUUACUGA
rnacentral:rRNA from 1 species